rnacentral:rRNA from 1 species
CUCAGGACGAACGCUGGCGGCGUGCCUAACACAUGCAAGUCGAGCGAGGAGAUCCUCGGGAUGAUCCUAGCGGCGGACGGGUGAGUAACACGUGGGCAACCUGCCUCAUAGAGAGGAAUAGCCUUCCGAAAGGGAGAUUAAUACCUCAUAACAUUGCAGUUUCGCAUGGAACAGCAAUUAAAGGAGCAAUCCGCUAUGAGAUGGGCCCGCGGCGCAUUAGCUAGUUGGUGAGGUAACGGCUCACCAAGGCGACGAUGCGUAGCCGACCUGAGAGGGUGAUCGGCCACAUUGGGACUGAGACACGGCCCAGACUCCUACGGGAGGCAGCAGUGGGGAAUAUUGCACAAUGGGGGAAACCCUGAUGCAGCCAACGCCGCGUGAGUGAUGACGGCCUUCGGGUUGUAAAGCUCUGUCUUCAGGGACGAUAAUGACGGUACCUGAGGAGGAAGCCACGGCUAACUACGUGCCAGCAGCUGC